AACGAACGCUGGCGGCAGGCUUAACACAUGCAAGUCGAGCGGAAAGGCCCUUCGGGGUACUCGAGCGGCGAACGGGUGAGUAACACGUGAGUAAUCUGCCCUUGGCUUUGGGAUAACUACCGGAAACGGUGGCUAAUACCGGAUACGACACAGGUGUGCAUGCGCUCUGUGUGGAAAGUUUUUUCGGCCAGGGAUGUGCUCGCGGCCUAUCAGCUUGUUGGUGGGGUAAUGGCCUACCAAGGCUUCGACGGGUAGCCGGCCUGAGAGGGUGACCGGCCACACUGGGACUGAGACACGGCCCAGACUCCUACGGGAGGCAGCAGUGGGGAAUAUUGGACAAUGGGCGGAAGCCUGAUCCAGCAACGCCGCGUGAGGGAUGACGGCCUUCGGGUUGUAAACCUCUUUCAGUACCGACGAAGCGCCGAUGAUGGUGGUGACGGUAGGUACAGAAGAAGCACCGGCCAACUACGUGCCAGCAGCCGCCGUAAAAC
rnacentral:rRNA from 1 species